UAGAGUUUGAUCCUGGCUCAUGAUUAUCUCUGGCGGGAUGCCUAAUACAUGCAAGUCAAACGGGAAGCUUAUGCUUCUAGUGGCGAACGGGUGAGUAACACGUAAGCUAUCUGUCCUAAAGAUUGGGAUAACAGUGGAAACGAUUAAUAAUACCGGAUAAUAGAUUAAGUCGCAUGACUUGAUUUUGAAAGAUGCAACUGCAUCACUUUUGUAGGAGCCUGCGUCGCAUUAGAUAGUUGGUGAGGUAACGGCCCACCAAGUCGAUGAUGCGUAGCUGCGCUGAGAGGCGAAACAGCCACAUUGGGACUGAGAACGGCCCAAACUCCUACGGGAGGCAGCAGUAGGGAAUUUUCGGCAAUGGGGGAAACCCUGACCGAGCAAUGCCGCGUGAAUGAUGACGAUCUUCGGAUUGUAAAGUUCUGUUGUAGAGGACGAAUGGUAGGUAGAGUGGAAAGCUAUCUAUUUGACGGUACUUUACUAGAAAGCCCCGGCUAACUAUGUGCCAGCAGCCGCGGUAAUACAUAUGGGGCGAGCGUUAUCCCGGAAUUAUUGGGCGUAAAGAAGUGCGUAGCGGUUUAUUAGUUCUGGGUGUUGAAUCCCAUAGCUUACUUAUGGCGGUUCAUGUAACUGCUAACUUGAGUUACAGUUAGGGGCCAAAACUG
rnacentral:rRNA from 1 species